ensembl:lncRNA
GCUCCUGCAGCCACAGGCAGACGGCGUAUGUUUCCAUUGGCCGGGGCCCAGACAACAUCAAGAGGUGGAAAACAAUCCCCAGAAAUCUGAAAAAUGUUGAACAAGGAAAGAAACUGUUCAAUCGACCAAAACAAACAGAGAUACAAUCUCACCCCCGUGGGGUUUGCUGGGCCUGGGGUUGGGGGGAGUCUGAGAGACUGGAGAAGAAAAUGUGCCUUAGAAACACGGGGCUGGUGGAGACAGGGGCCGAGCCUGUUGCUCACAGAAUCCAGCUGGAGGGGCCCGGACCCCUGGCCAGGACGCUGGUGGGAGUUGGCUGGGGCUUUCUGGGGUUCUGGGCACCUGGCCAGGUGUUCCCUGGUGCUGUUAAGGCACAGUGUCCCGUACUUACACGAGUGUGGGGGUCAUGCAAACAGGACCAGGAAGACCCAGAAAGAGGCCAUUUAUAUUGUGAACCAGAGCUUAACAGAUCCAGGGAGGGCAGGUGGCCAUUCACCAGAUAACUUGGAAAAGUGACUACUUUAUAGGAAAGAUUACAUUCCUGCCUCACACCAUACACACAGAUGAAUUCCAGAUACACUUAUUAAAAACUUAACUGUGAAGAAAUAAGGAGUUCUAAAACUAUUUCUAUAGAGGAAAGAGUAUGUUCUGCUAUUGACAUGUGGGAAUCCUCCUUCAAAGAGAGAAUUUAUGGCAAAAUGAUGUAUGGAUGUGAGAGUUGGACCAGAAAGAAGGCUAAGUGAUGAAAAAUUGAUGCUUCUGAACUGUGGUGUUGAAGACUCUUGAAAGUCCCUUGGACAGCAAAGAGAUCAAACCAGUCAAUCCUAAAAAAAAUCAACAUUGGAUAUUCUUUGGAAAAACUGUUGCUGAAGCUGAAGCUCCAGUAUUUUGGCCACCUGAUGCAAACAGCAUCAGGAAAAGACCAAAGCUCAUUGGAAAAGACCCUGAUUCUGGGAAAGAUUGAGGGCAGGAGGAGAAGGGCAGAGGAUGAGACGGUUGGAUGGCAUCACCGACUCAAUGGAUAGGAAUUUGAGCAAACUCUAGGAGAUGGUGAAGGACAGGGAAACUUGGCAUGCUGCAUCAUGGGGCUGCAGAGUCGGACACGACUGAGCGUCUGAACAACUACACCACAGCUCCUCUAGGAGUGCCCUGGCAUUUUCUUCAAAACUGGCAGUUUACCUCCAAUUCAGCUCCUAGCUCUCCAGCCUGGAGAAGCUCUCACACAUUGUACUAGGAUUGCUACACGUGACAACAUGGGAAAAGAAUCAGAACAAAGCACAACAUCCAAACCCUGCAGAUGCAGACAGGGCUGACCCUCCGGUCUUUCACACUGUGGGACUCUCGGUGUCAGUGAAAAGCGUUAACACAGCGCUCCAAGGCCCUGCAGGGGAAGACUGCGUCUCACCCCCUGGGCAGACCCAGCCCCCCAGAGCCCCUCUCCAGGCAGCCGCUUCCCGCCUGCGCCCGUCCUCACUGACUGGCCUGAGCUCGCCAGGGGCCGGACUAGGGGACCGUC